rnacentral:rRNA from 1 species
GACGAACGCUGGCGGCGUGCUUAACACAUGCAAGUCGAACGGAAAGGCCUCUUUCGGGGGGUACUCGAGUGGCGAACGGGUGAGUAACACGUGAGUAACCUGCCCUUGACUUUGGGAUAACUUCAGGAAACUGGGGCUAAUACCGGAUAGGAGCUCCUGCUGCAUGGUGGGGGUUGGAGAGUUUCGGCGGUUGGGGAUGGACUCGCGGCUUAUCAGCUUGUUGGUGGGGUAGUGGCUUACCAAGGCUUUGACGGGUAGCCGGCCUGAGAGGGUGACCGGCCACAUUGGGACUGAGAUACGGCCCAGACUCCUACGGGAGGCAGCAGUGGGGAAUAUUGCACAAGGGGUGGAAGCCUGAUGCAGCAACGCCGUGUGCGGGAGGACGGCCUUCGGGUUGGAAACCGCUUUCGCUCAUGACGAAGCUUUGUGUGACGGUAGUGGGUAAAGAAGCACCGGCUAACUACGUG